GGCAAUUCACCUAGGAGAGCAAACUCCGAACAGUAAACCCGGGCAGGUUGGGCUCGUGAGCCGUCAUAGGUAAUACACCUAGGAGAGCAAACUCCGAACAAUAAACCCGGGCAGGUGGAGCUCGUCAGCCGUGGUAGGCAGUCUGCCUAGGAGAGCAAACUCCGAACAAUAAACCCGAGCAGGUGGAGCUCGUCAGCCGUGGUAGGCAGUCUGCCUAGGAGAGCAAACUCCAAACAAUAAACCCGGGCAGGUGGAGCUCGUCAGCCGUGGUAGGCAGUCUGCCUAGGAGAGCAAACUCCAAACAAUAAACCCGGGCAGGUGGAGCUCGUUAGAUGUCGUAGACAAUCCACGUGAUGGGAACACCAAAGAAAAGGAAAAUAAAAAGGAACACCAGAAAAAGGAAAAUAUAGUAACAAAACAUCAAGAAAAUAAAAUAAAAAAAACACAGAUCAUCCACCUUCAGGCCCUAACAUCUCCAAAAUUAUGGAUGAGUCUUUUCUGGGGAGAAAGAGGCUCACCCAGACCAAAGAACAUCAAAGAGGGAUGAUAUAGAAAAGAACACCAAAAAAUAGGGGAAUAAAGAGCAAAAAAACAUCGCAAAAGAAAAGUAACAGCAAUAACAGAACAACAUCAAGAAAAGUAACACACAAAGAAACAUCAUCCACCAUUCGGCCCCAAACUAACAUCACCAAAAUUAUGGGUGGGUCUCUUCUGGGAGGAAAGCGGCUCACCCAAACCAACGAAGAACGUCAACAAGAGGAUGAUAUGAAAUAAAAGAACAUCAAAAAACACGAAGAAAAGAAAUAAGAAGAAAAAGAACAGGAAAAACAUCGGAAAAGAAAAACAUGAAGAAAAGCACAUCAAGAGAAGAAAAAUAUAAGAAACAUCAUCCACCUUUCGGCCCCUAACUAACAUCACCAAACUUAUGGGUGGGUCUCUUCUGGGAGGAAAGCGGCUCACCCAGACCAAUGAACAUCAACAAGAGGAUGAUAUGAAAUAAAAGAACAUCAAAAAAGAAAAACAACAGCAAGAAAACAAAGAAAAAGAUAAAGAAAAGAAAAGGAAAAAGAAACAAAAAAGAAAAAGAAAAACACCAAAAUAAAAUAAAACAAAAACAUAAA